GAUGAAGAACGUAGCGAAAUGCGAUAAGUAAUGUGAAUUGCAGAAUUCAGUGAAUCAUCGAAUCUUUGAACGCACCUUGCGCCCUUUGGUUAUUCCGAAGGGCAUGCCUGUUUGAGUAUCAUGAACACCUCAACUCUCAUGGCUUGCCGUGACGAGCUUGGACUUGGGGGUUUUGCUGGCCUGCGGUCAGCUCCUCUCAAAUGAAUCAGCUUACCAGUGUUUGGUGGCAUCACGGGUGUGAUAAAACUAUCUACGCUUGUGGUUUUCCACCAAGUUUAACCCCCAGCGAUGGAGGUUGGCUGGGGCUCACAAACGUCGUCUCUCUUCGGCGGGGACAGCUCUUUGAACGUUUGAUCUCAAAUCAGGUAGGACUACCCGCUGAACUUAAGCAUAUCAAUAAGCGGAGGA
rnacentral:misc_RNA from 1 species